AGAGUUUCGCGGCCUCCGCGAUGGUAAAUCUGGGGUCUCCGUCCACGCCCCGCCGUUCCAAGCACGCCGACCGGCAAGGACCUUCGCACCCAGCUUCUGGGGCCCACCCAGGCACGGGCGGUCCAGGGGCCGCGGCGGAGGCUGGUGGCUCCAGGAUCUUCCUGGAGGGGCGAGAGGGAGACCUUGGAAAGGGGCAAGAAGAUGUCUAGAUGAGUGGAAGCUGUCUUGGGAAUUGAUUUCGCGGGGAUGGUACAUAGGGAGGGGUGAUGUUGAGAAAGGGAAGAGAGAGAUUGAGAGGAUGAAGAAUGCUCAGGGGAGUGAGAAAUCCGGGGAGCCAGGAAAGUUUCCAAAGAGGGGGCGGGAGGCCGAGAUGGAGAGGAAAAAAAAUCAGACCCUUAGAGAGAAGGAAGAGGUGGGACAGGGAAAGCAAGGGAAUGGAAGGGUGAGAAGGGAAGAUACUGAGAAAGAAGAAAGGGAAAUAAAAAAAAAGGAAAGAAGUGAUGGGAGACCCGCCCCCCUUCCCCCCAGAAAAAGAGGCAGAGGUGGAGGAAACCUUAAAGAGGAUCCAGAGUCAUAAAGGGGUUAUUGGAACUAUGGUUGUAAAUGCAGAAGGUAUUCCCAUCCGAACAACCUUGGACAACUCAACAACUGUUCAAUAUGCAGGCCUUCUUCAUCACCUGACAAUGAAAGCCAAAAGCACAGUUCGUGAUAUUGAUCCUCAGAACGACCUGACUUUUCUUAGGAUCAGAUCAAAGAAACAUGAAAUCAUGGUAGCUCCAGAUAAGGAAUAUCUUCUGAUCGUCAUUCAGAAUCCAUGUGAAUAGACCUGCGAUGGCCAAGGCUGUUUAAGCGACACUGGGUUGGAAACACUUGGCUCUCUCAUGAAUUCAUCCAAAAAAUAAGAAAUGAAACAUUGCAGAUACAGCUGAAGCCUGCUCCUCCUCCUUGUGCCUCUGUCCUCCUUACCCAGAAGAUUCUUGACAGGAGGCACAGGUUACCCAACGCAAGGGUCCACAGGCACUUUCACCUAAGCUUCUGCCACAGCUCCACGUGAAGCCAAGUAUGAGAAUGAUGCCUGUUUCCUGCCCACCCAGAGCUUGUCAUCAGAUGCAUGGCUAAGUGGUAAAGCCAUUUCCUUCCUCCUGACACAGCCAGAAAUUUCAAGCCCUAUUUGCAACAUAGCAGUGUGAAAUCUCUGGCAGGUGCAGAUGGCAUGGCUACAAGUGCCAGAACUCUAUGUGGACUCUUCAGGGGAGGAAGACACUUCUAUCCCACUGGGCAGGAAACUCACAGUAGUUGUGUCACAGUCCUGCCUGUACCUUUGCAUCCAGAGGAAACUGUGAGGCUUUGUUGGGGCAGAGACCGUGGCAGCAAAAGGAAGAAUUUGCCAGAGCCACUUACAACAAAGGAGGAUGUGACCUCAGGAAGUUUGCACCACACCUCUCUCCCUUCUGGUACAUACAACUUCAUAUUCCCUCUUGGAUUCAUAACAGCAUAGUUAAUGACCUAUAUCUAAAAGAUGGCUGGACCUAUAGACUGAAGAUUCACACCCAUCCAAAACCAUCAGCAAAGCUUUCAAUUCCUAUGGGAAGUGCAAGCCUGGGUUCAUAUAGUGCUCCCUCUUAGCCUAACUUGCUAUAAAUUUUACCUGAACAAUAGAAGAGCUAUUUGCAGAGUCUCUGGAGGAACAUAUUGCAACCAUAAAUAUUAAUGAUAAUGAACCUGGAAAGACCAGCUUAAUAAAAUAGCUGAAAAUGAAUUUAUACAUCAUUAGCAUUAUGAGCUCCCAAAUCUUCAUCUCUGAACAGCUGGACUAUCCCAGUAGAGGAUGAGCGGGAACCCACGUAGAUCUCCAGAGCGGUGCCUCCUGCAGACCCUUUUACUGGGUAUGUUCUGGCUUUUGAAAUACAUUACCUAUUCUCUUCUAAAGCCAAAAUUACUACAGACUAAGGCUGGACACUUUGUCUCCCCUCUUGGUCUUUGAAAAAUUACAAUUAUCCCCAAUUUGUGUUUGAUAUGGGGCAAAAUAUCUCCACUCUUUUCAUGUUAGAAAAUAAUAUAAUGUCCUUGAAAUGGAAACUAUCACAUGUGUAGGUGAAAUGCCUAUAGAUAUUCAUUCAACCAAUAUUUGGUCUUAUAUUCUUUGUUGAAAAAAAAAGACAAGAAAGGCCGGGCGCGGUAUCUCAUGCCUGUAAUCCCAGCACUUUGGGAGGCCGAGGCAGAUGGAUCACCUGAGGUCAGGAGUUACCAGCCCUGCCAACAUGGUAAAACCCCGUUUCUACUAAAAAUACAAAAAUUAGCUGGGUGUGGUGGCAGGCGACUAUAAUCCCAGCUACUCAGGAGGCUGAGGCUGGAGAAUUGCUUGAACCAAGGAGGCAGAAGUUGCAGUGAACCAUUGCACUCCAGCCUGGGCAACAAGAGCGAAACUCUGUCUCAAAACAAAACAAACAAACAAAAAGACAGGAAAACAUGGAUCAUAUGUGGGGCAUAACAGUUUUCAGAGAGGUAUAAUCUCUUCUAAUGGGGGACUUACAAAUAUAAGUUGGUCUCUCAAAUCCUGAGAAUCAUAGGGCUAGAAGGCUCCCUUAACAUAAAAGCAUCUCUAAUAAUGGAAACUCAGGCAUUCCCUGAGCAGUUUGGACUACAUAAGGUUCAAAGUCUUCUCUGGUAUGUUUCUUAUCCAAGAUUUGACAUAGAGGGUUAGCCGUGCACCCAGCCAUUCCUUGAACCCAUAGAAGAGAACACUGAAUCUUCUUACUUCCUCCUGGCUUCUUACCCCAGGAAACCUCCAUUCUGUAUUUCCCUUCACCAUAUAUGGUUUCAAGACUCCCUCUAUAGAUGUCACCAGCCUAGAACACUCCUGCCACAAACAGAAUUGAUUUUAAAAUUCUCUCUCUUUGGUCAACUUUACAACUUGAGACACAAUACGAUACAGCUGAGAGAACAUGACAUCUGGGGUCUGACUCUAUGACUUACUAGCGGAGUCAACAACUUUGAACCUCAGUUUUCCUGUCUACAAAUGUGAAGAAUGUCCACCCACAGCAGCCUUGAAUUCUGAACUCUACAGGACAGCAUACAUGCCAAUUACUGUUAUUAAUAAUAGCAAUAGCGGCAAAAUACAAGUUUACCACAAUACAAGCCAUUUAAUGCAUCUCA